UACGUAUGGUGCAAGCGUUAUCCGGAUUUACUGGGUGUAAAGGGAGCGCAGGCGGUGCGGCAAGUCUGAUGUGAAAGCCCGGGGCUCAACCCCGGUACUGCAUUGAAAACUGUCGUACUAGAGUGUCGGAGGGGUAAGUGGAAUUCCUAGUGUAGCGGUGAAAUGCGUAGAUAUUAGGAGGAACACCAGUGGCGAAGGCGGCUUACUGGACGAUAACUGACGCUGAGGCUCGAAAGCGUGGGGAGCAAACAGG
rnacentral:rRNA from 1 species